rnacentral:rRNA from 1 species
GACGAACGCUGGCGGCGUGCUUAACACAUGCAAGUCGAACGGUGAAGCGCCUUCCUUUUUGGUGGGUGUGGAUGAGUGGCGAACGGGUGAGUAACACGUUAGUAACCUGCCCCCUUCUUCUGGAUAACCGCAUGAAAGUGUGGCUAAUACGGGAUAUUCUGGGUCUGUCGCAUGAUGGGUCUGUGAAAGAUAUUGUUUCGGUGGGGGAUGGGCUCGCGGCCUAUCAGCUUGUUGGUGGGGUGAUGGCCUACCAAGGCGGUGACGGGUAGCCGGCCUGAGAGGGUGGACGGUCACACUGGGACUGAGACACGGCCCAGACUCCUACGGGAGGCAGCAGUGGGGAAUAUUGCACAAUGGGCGCAAGCCUGAUGCAGCGACGCCGCGUGAGGGAUGGAGGCCUUCGGGUUGUGAACCUCUUUCGCCAGUGAAGCAGGCCUGCCUCGUUUGUGGGUGGGUUGACGGUAGCUGGAUAAGAAGCGCCGGCUAACUACGUG